rnacentral:rRNA from 1 species
AGCAGCCGCGGUAAUUCCAGCUCCAAUAGCGUAUAUUAAAGUUGUUGCAGUUAAAAAGCUCGUAGUUGAAUUUCGGGAUUGACGUGAUGGUCAUGCCUUAAGGGGUAUGAACUGUUGCAGUUGAUUUCUCACCUUCUGGAGAAACUUGAUGUCCUUUAUUGGGUGUCUUGCGGAUCCAGGACCUUUUACCUUGAAAAAUUAGAGUGUUUAAAGCAGGCAUUUUUGCUCGAAUACAUUAGCAUGGGAUAAUAGAAUAGGACGGCAUGGUUCUAUUUUGUUGGUUUCUAGGAUCACCGUAAUGAUUAAUAGGGAUAGUUGGGGCAUUAGUAUUCAAUUGUCAGAGGUGAAAUUCUUGG